AAACGGCUAAGUAAGACAGAAUGAGUGUGGCCUACUGAGGAACAGAAUGAAGGCUGGUGUGGGUGGGGCAGCAUAAACUAUAGGGGAGUAAAUAGUAGAAGACCUGGUGGCCACCAGCCAUGAGAAAAGAGGCAGACCUUGAGGAGUGAUAAAAACCAACCAACCAAUAAUUGCAUGAUGAGGAAAAGGAGGCUAAACAGUAUCAGAAUACUGGAGUCGUGAUUUGAAUGGAGGGAGUCUGAAGCAGCAACCCCUGCUUCUGACCUCAGUCUGAAUUGAAAGCAGUUCAUGGGUCACCCUUAACCAUCAUACAAAGUUGCCUCUCUUCACAAAAACUGUCUUAUCCAUUCUCAAGAAAUAAGGAAAAGAGAAAGCUUGUGGAAAGGAUCCUUCCUGGCUGGCAGACAGAUCUGAGUUAAUGUCACAGCUGUCUGUUUCACGUGUUAAAGAAUCUCUUGCACCAUUUUCCCCGAGAUGCUUGCGCGCUCCCAAGGCGGUGCACACCCCUGCUGGGCAAACACCGCGAUCGCCAGAAGCGACCAGGGCUGAGGCGCACGGAAGGGCUCCGGGAGAGGCCCCGUAGGAGCGCGGGCACAGAGUGGGUACCUGGGCUGCUGCCUGCUCCAGUCGGCUGGUUCUCCCACCACUCGUCUCCGAGAUCGUCUGCCAUUUCAGCUCAGGUCUCGACGUGGGCAGAACAUCACGGGUAGGCGACCAGCUGCGGAGAAUCACGUUGUCUCAAAGCCAGGCGGCCGGCGUAGCUACACGCGGAGCUCCCGCUAGACACUGUCGCCUCCGCCCCGCGGCGAUGACGUCACACCUCUGCCCCGCCUCUCCGGCAGCCGCUCCCAGACUCGUCGCAGUUUCCACACAGGCGCCGACAGGCAGAAGCAGUUUGGAAACGCAACAUAAAUCCCCCCAAAGCUUAAAGACAAAAAGGAACAUAAGACGAAAGGGAUUGUCAUCGUUUUUGAUAAUGCAUUUUAAAAAAUUUUGUUUACGUGUUACGUUUCCCGAUAAGAUUGUGUCGAAAGUGUGAGACACCAUGUGAAGACGAUUUUUCUCCGCUCAGUUUCAAAGAACUUGCGCAGCGGGAGAAGACCCAAACAUGUGCGUGUGUUUUCGCUUGUGCGUCAGUGUUUCAGAGUUUAUGUGUUUGUACAGUUUGCUCUUAGAAAACAUGCGCAAGGAUCCAUGACCAUGAAUGUCGGGCCUUUGUGGUAAAUGUAGUUCUGCUAUUUAUGCAAUAUGAGUAAAGAAAAUGUAAUUGGCCUGGAAAGGCUCGCCCACAGAAAGACGCAAGUGGCUCGAAGACCCGCAAGUUGUUUUCCUCAUACUCCCUCGGUUGUGUGUCCCACCCCCUAUUUGGGAAACGAAGUAAUAAGGGAGUCCAUUGCUUCGUAACUAUAGGUAAGAGACCCGCAGUGCCUCUUGUCUCAGUCCCAACGUGAUUUGGCAGGGAGGGACUAGGAAAACCCGCUGGGCGCCAAGUGCUGGGGCUAGCUGUGAAGUAAUUGUGGACGGUAUUUUUCAGGACAUCAAACACAGACGUAAAAAUUAUACAAAAUGUAGUAAAAGCACGCAACGUGCCUGGUACUAUGCAUGGAAUAGUAAGAUGAGUCCAUUCAGAUGUUAGCCUACAGUAGUGGAAAUUCAAUUUGUAGGAAUAAAGGGCUAGACUUCUAAUAGGAUACAUCCUCGGAAAUGACAAGACAGGGAAACUUAAUCUGAUGAGGCUAGGAUUAGCCAUAUGUGGAAAAUUACCCCGUGUGCACCCAACUCAUAGAUGUUUUAUAAAUGCAUUACUGCCUAGACUUUGUCCGCACACUCUAAAUGCCCCAAAAGGGAAGAUAUUAUGUAUAAAUAUGGCAAAUGUAAAAUAAUCUAUAAAGAUCAAAAGUAAUAUGGCUUUUGUGAAGAAAUGUAGAUGACGAGAUUUUCGUGAUUAAUAGAUUUUUGAAAAAGAUAAGAAAUGCCAGUGUGGAAGAGGAGUUGCUAUGGCUAAUAAACAUGAAAAG
rnacentral:lncRNA from 10 species